AAGUCGUAACAAGGUUUCCGUAGGUGAACCUGCGGAAGGAUCAUUAACGAGUGAGGGUCCCUCCGGGCCCGACCUCCCAACCCUCUGUCUACAGAACCUCCGUUGCUUCGGCGGACCCGUCUCCACGACCGCCGGGGGAGCCGCCCUCACGGGGCGUCCCCUGGCCCGCGUCCGCCGGUGGCCAACCUCUCCAAACUCUUGUCUAAACCGUGUCUCCAUGUCUGAGUCCAUGAUGCAAAUCAAUAAACAAAAAACUUUCAACAACGGAUCUCUUGGUUCUG
rnacentral:misc_RNA from 1 species